CCUACGGGGGGCAGCAGUGGGGAAUAUUGGGCAAUGGGCGCAAGCCUGACCCAGCAACGCCGCGUGAAGGAAGAUGGCCUUCGGGUGGUAAACUUCUUUUAUGCGGGAAGAGCAGAAGACGGUACCUCCUGAAUAAGCCACGGCUAACUACGUGCCAGCAGCAGCGGCAAUACGUCGGCGGCAAGAGUUGUGGGGAUUUACGGGGUGUAAGGGGCGUUCAGCUGGGAAGGCAAGUUAGAGGUGAAAUCCCGCGGCUCAACGGGGGAACUGCAUUUGAGACUGCUUUGCUGGAGUACCGGAGAGGUCAGCGGAAUUCCUGGUGUAGCGGUGAAAUGCGUAGAUAUAAGGAAGAACACCAGUGGCGAAGGCGGAUGACUGGACGGCAACUGACGAUGAGGCGCGAAAGCGUGGGGAGCAAACAGGAUUAGAUACCCGAGUAGUC
rnacentral:rRNA from 1 species